rnacentral:snRNA from 1 species
GUACCGCUUCGGCGGUACAUUAACUAAAAUUGGAACGAUACAGAGAAGAUUAGCAUGGCCCCUGCGCAAGGAUGACACGCAAAAUCGUGAAGCGUUCCACAUUUUU